rnacentral:rRNA from 1 species
UACGAAGGGGGCUAGCGUUGCUCGGAAUCACUGGGCGUAAAGGGCGCGUAGGCGGAUGAUUAAGUCGGAGGUGAAAGCCCAGGGCUCAACCCUGGAAUUGCCUUCGAUACUGAUCGUCUCGAGAGUGGUAGAGGUAAGUGGAAUACCGAGUGUAGAGGUGAAAUUCGUAGAUAUUCGGUGGAACACCAGUGGCGAAGGCGACUUACUGGACCAUUUCUGACGCUGAGGCGCGAAAGCGUGGGGAUCAAACAGG